rnacentral:ncRNA from 1 species
UUAAAGGCUGUGACCAGAAAGAAGUAGGAAUGCUUAAGUCUCCCAGAGAGCUGCCGGUUGGUGUGAGGCGGUGAGAACGGCGUUUUGAAUACAUUUUGUGAGCUGUGUACCGAAAGGGUUUUCCGAGUAGGCUGCAACGGGAGCGCCCGUUAGAGCGCAAGGGUAUAAGCGUGUGUGCGCCGUACCCUGUGAGCGUGUCCGCUGUGAAGCGGCGCGAAAUUGAGGUGGUACCGCGGGUAUAUUAGCUCCCGUCCUCUGU